rnacentral:rRNA from 1 species
UACCAGCUCUCCGAGUGGUAGGGAUGAUUAUUGGGCUUAAAGCGUCCGUAGUCGGCUUAGCAAGUCUCCUGUUAAAUUCAGCGACCUAAUCGUUGAGCCGCGGGAGAUACUACUAGGCUAGGAGGCGGGAGAGGUCAACGGUACUUCCGGGGUAGGGGUGAAAUCCUAUAAUCCCGGGAGGACCACCAGUGGCGAAGGCUGUUGACUAGAACGCGCUCGACGGUGAGGGACGAAAGCUGGGGGAGCGAACCGGAUUAGAUACCCGGGUAGUCCCAGCUGUAAACGAUGCGAGCUAGGUGUUGGGGUGGCUACGUGCCGCUUCAGUGCCGCAGGGAAGCCAUUAAGCUCGCCGCCUGGGGAGUACGGCCGCAAGGCUGAAACUUAAGGAAUUGGCGGGGAGCACACAAGGCGUGAAGCUUGCGGUUC